UCCGAGUUGACCCCGGCAGUAUCCCAUGAGUUCCCACCGUUACGUGCUGGCAACAUAGAACGAGGGUUGCGCUCGUUGCGGGACUUAACCCAACAUCUCACGACACGAGCUGACGACAACCAUGCACCACCUGUGAACCGGCCGCAAGCGGGGCACCUGUUUCCAGGUGUUUCCAGUCCAUGUCAAGCCUUGGUAAGGUUCUUCGCGUUGCAUCGAAUUAAUCCGCAUGCUCCGCCGCUUGUGCGGGCCCCCGUCAAUUCCUUUGAGUUUUAGCCUUGCGGCCGUACUCCCCAGGCGGGGCACUUAGUGCGUUAGCGACGGCACGGGAGGAGUCGACACCUCCCACACCUAGUGCCCAUCGUUUACGGCGUGGACUAC
rnacentral:misc_RNA from 1 species